AGACGAAGCUUGCCUACCCUUUGAAACAGCAUGGGCCAGCUACUAUUCAUGUAACGUUCCACUAGCCUCUACUAAACAUUCUAUCCUACUAAAUUGGCCACUGUUGGCAGAGAGCGAGGUUGUCCGACAAAACUAAUACCUGAAGAGCCUAAACCUGUUACUAGCAACACUCCAGAGAACAUAGAGAAUGAUAGGAAGAAGACAAAUAG
rnacentral:lncRNA from 1 species